CAGUCGCCACGGGAAUACAGAGGGUGCGAGCGUUAAUCGGAUUUACUGGGCGUGAAGCGUGCGUAGGCGGCUAAUUGAGUCGGAUGUGAAAUCCCCGAGCUUAACUUGGGAAUUGCAUUCGAUACUGGUUAGCUAGAGUGUGGGAGAGGAUGGUAGAAUUCCAGGUGUAGCGGUGAAAUGCGUAGAGAUCUGGAGGAAUACCGAUGGCGAAGGCAGCCAUCUGGCCUAACACUGACGCUGAGGUACGAAAGCAUGGGGAGCAAACAGGAUUAGAUACCCCAGUAGUCCCUGUCUCUUAUAC
rnacentral:rRNA from 1 species